GGAGCGAACGCUGGCGGCAGGCCUAACACAUGCAAGUCGAGCGCCCGUAGCAAUACGGGAGCGGCAGACGGGAUAGUAACACGUGGGAACGCGCCCUUCGGUUCGGAAUAACUCAGGGAAACUUGAGCUAAUACCGAAUACGCCCUUACGGGGAAAGAUUUAUUGCCGAAGGAACGGCCCGCGUCCGAUUAGCUAGUUGGUGAGGUAAUGGCUCACCAAGGCUACGAUCGGUAGCUGGUCUGAGAGGAUGACCAGCAUCACUGGGACUGAGACACGGCCCAGACUCCUACGGGAGGCAGCAGUGGGGAAUAUUGGACAAUGGGCGCAAGCCUGAUCCAGCCAUGCCGCGUGGAUGAUGAAGGCCUUAGGGUUGUAAAGUCCUUUUAACGGGGAAGAUAAUGACGGUACCGUAGAAUAAGCCCGGCUAACUUCGUGCCAGCAGCCGC
rnacentral:rRNA from 1 species